rnacentral:rRNA from 1 species
AUUGAACGCUGGCGGCAUGCCUUACACAUGCAAGUCGAACGGCAGCACGGGAGCAAUCCUGGUGGCGAGUGGCGAACGGGUGAGUAAUAUAUCGGAACGUGCCCGGUCGUGGGGGAUAACGUAGCGAAAGCUACGCUAAUACCGCAUACGAUCUACGGGAUGAAAGCGGGGGAUCGCAAGACCUCGCGCGAUUGGAGCGGCCGAUAUCAGAUUAGGUAGUUGGUGAGGUAAAGGCUCACCAAGCCGACGAUCUGUAGCUGGUCUGAGAGGACGACCAGCCACACUGGGACUGAGACACGGCCCAGACUCCUACGGGAGGCAGCAGUGGGGAAUUUUGGACAAUGGGCGCAAGCCUGAUCCAGCAAUGCCGCGUGCAGGAUGAAGGCCUUCGGGUUGUAAACUGCUUUUGUACGGAACGAAACGGUGAGCUCUAAUACAGUUUGCUAAUGACGGUACCGUAAGAAUAAGCACCGGCUAACUACGUG